UACGUAGGGGGCAAGCGUUGUCCGGAAUUAUUGGGCGUAAAGAGCGUGUAGGCGGCCAGAUAAGUCCGCUGUGAAAUCUCGAGGCUCAACUUCGAGCUGUCGGUGGAAACUAUCUGCUAGAGUCCGGAAGAGGAGAAUGGAAUUCCUGGUGUAGCGGUGAAAUGCGCAGAUAUCAGGAAGAACACCCGUGGCGAAGGCGGGUCUCUGGGCAACAACUGACGCUGAGGAGCGAAAGCGUGGGGAGCGAACAGG
rnacentral:rRNA from 1 species